AUGAACGCUGGCGGCGUGCCUAAUCCAUGCAAGUCGAGCGAACGGACGAGAAGCUUGCUUCUCUGAUGUUAGCGGCGGACGGGUGAGUAACACGUGGAUAACCUACCUAUAAGACUGGGAUAACUUCGGGAAACCGGAGCUAAUACCGGAUAAUAUUUUGAACCGCAUGGUUCAAAAGUGAAAGACGGUCUUGCUGUCACUUAUAGAUGGAUCCGCGCUGCAUUAGCUAGUUGGUAAGGUAACGGCUUACCAAGGCAACGAUGCAUAGCCGACCUGAGAGGGUGAUCGGACACACUGGAACUGAGACACGGUCCAGACUCCUACGGGAGGCAGCAGUAGGGAAUCUUCCGCAAUGGGCGAAAGCCUGACGGAGCAACGCCGCGUGAGUGAUGAAGGUCUUCGGAUCGUAAAACUCUGUUAUUAGGGAAGAACAUAUGUGUAAGUAACUGUGCACAUCUUGACGGUACCUAAUCAGAAAGCCACGGCUAACUACGUG
rnacentral:rRNA from 1 species